rnacentral:rRNA from 1 species
GACGAACGCUGGCGGCGUGCUUAACACAUGCAAGUCGAACGGGCAGGCCCUUCUGUUGUGGGCUGCCCGGUUGGCGACCGGGUGAGUCACACGUGAUUAAUCUGCCCUUGACUUUGGGAUAUCUUCAGGUACCUGAGGCUCCUACCCGAGAGGAGCUCCUGCUGCGUGGUGGGGGUUGGAAAGUUUCGGCGGUUGGGGAUGGACUCGCGGCUUCUCAGCUUGUUGGUGGGGUAGUGUCUUACCAAGGCUUUGACGGGUAGCCGGCCUGAGAGGGGGACCGGCCACAUUGGGACUGAGAUACGGCCCAGACUCCUACGGGAGGCAGAAGUGGGGAAUAUUGCACAAGGGGCGGAGGCAUGAUGCAGCAACGCCGCGUGCGGGAUGACGGCCUGCGGGUUGUAAACCGCUGUCGCCUGUGACGAAGCGUGAGUGACGGUAAUGGGUAAAGAAGCACCGGCUAACUACGUG